rnacentral:lncRNA from 1 species
AAGGUAACGCCAGUGAGGAGUGGGAACGGUGGGAAGGUGACACCGGUGAGAAGUGGGAACCGCAGGAAUGUAACGCCGUUGAGGAGAAGUGGGAACGGAGGGAAAAGGUAACGCCAGUGAGGAGUGGGAACGGUGGGAAGGUGACACCGGUGAGAAGUGGGAACCGCAGGAAUGUAACGCCGUUGAGGAGAAGUGGGAACGGAGGGAAAGAAAAUGCCAACAGUGUGCUUUUGGCUGUGUUUUGUGUUUAUUUUUUAAACUAGACCAGAUGUUUCAGCAUUUACAUAAAAAUAAACAUGCAAAUACAGUCUUACAAAACGUUGAAGAGAGAGGCCUCAGAGAAGAGAGUGCUGCCGCUGUCCAAGUGUGCCAUGAGCUGCAGCAGCCUCUGCAGCAGGGCCUGCUGGACCAGGAGUUCAGAACGAGGCUCUGCUCUAAUGACACAGCAAGGCUUCAAAAAUAUCUUCCAGUGAAUGGAUGGGUAGUUAGCUGGAAGCCAUGAUGCUAAACAGGUAUGAUGCAACUGCCAUUUCUGUGAACCAAAAAAGAAUAUACAUGUACACAUCACCUGUGCACGGUGUCUGCAGAAGGCAGAGGGAAGGCAGGUAGAAGCAUUAAUUAAGAGCUGCAGAUUCAUCAGAUAAAAAUGUGUGACCCCAGGUUAGGUGCUGGGAUGCAGCAAUGCUGAGUUCCUGGGAUCCUGGGAUGCUGGAGGGCAUGUGCACACCACCCUCGGCCGUCAUCCUGGAGACGCGGGAGCUCGGCUGCCAGGUUGCUGAUACGCUCCAUGUUCAGGAGCUGUCCCACCGGGAAAGGUGUCCGUGGGGGUGAGGAGCCCUCUUCUGAUCCUCCUGCUUUCCUGGGGGGUGAAGCUGCUUUCCCAGAAAACACCAGGCCCCCCUCCCAGCUGCCGGACCCCACAGUGUGGUCUUUGUCCCCAGGGGCAGUGCUUUCUGCCCCUUUUGUUCUCUGCUGAUCCCCAGAGCCUGGCCCUGCACAGGUCGUCGGUGAUGUCUGUGGAUUAGAGACCUGCUCCCCUGUGCCUCCACAGGGGAGGGCCACACAUGCAUACACAUGCACACUCAGACACAUGGUCACACACAUGAUCAUGCUUACAUGUCACACACUAUACACACGCACUCUUGUGUACACAUGGCACACACUUACCCUAACGCAGCCACACAGUUCACACACACCCACCCCCUCCUGCUGACACUCUCACAGUCACACACAUGCACUCACCACACCCUCCCCUAGUGGGCUCUGGGGUUCCACCAACCGUAGCUGGGUGGCCACCCCAUGGUCUUCACCACUGCGUGGCCCAACACACAAAGGUGGCCUGGGGUCUCUCCCGACUCUAGGUCAGUUCUUCCUGGUUCCCUGGGCCAACAUUCUCCUGCGGGCCCAGUCUCAGUCAGCCCUCACACGUGGGGAUUCCAGCCCAGCCCCCUUUCCCAGACUCCACACUUGGAUUCUCAAGCCAUAGGUAAAGUAGCCGUGCCGGCACCGACUGGCCCCAAAGUGGAGCCGAUGCCACAAAGCACUGCCGGGCCAGACACCAGCCAGGCAGAGUGAGGAGAGCACAGGCCCCUGGGACAGCGGUGCAGGUCGGCUUCCAGCCAACUUUGGGGUCCCCAGGACCCCGCCUUUCUGGAGGGGUCACCAAGCCAGAGCUGGGCUCCACCUGGCCAUUUGUGAGAUGUGCAGCUUUGUGAGCUGGUGCUGCCCCUGGGGCAGUUUAAACAGCGGUGGUGGGAGGAUGUGCAAAUGCUUCCAACCAGGGGCUUCAUUUUCGCUUUUCCCUGGAGAGCCUGCUUGCCAGCACCCCGCUACCAGGGACCCUCCGUGCCUCCCCAACUCCACCUAACCCCUUCUCCAGCUCCCCUAGUGGGGGGCGGCACCUUGCUCUUCUGAGCGGAGCCGGGGAGAGCGAGGACCCCGCACAUCACCACGUCCCUCCUGCCCCCGGCUUCUGCUUGCCUGUCCCCAGGAGCUGGGAUGCCAGGUCGAUUUCAACUAAGUUCUCUUUUACGGACAUACACACCAGUGGGAUUUGAUUACUGGCCUCACCUGCGCUGGAAGAAGCUCUAUCUUUAACUUCUGUUCUGCUCAUUCUGCUCAUGUAUAUAUUCUGAGAUGUUUUAAACAACAAUUCACCCAUCUUCCUGGCUUUCACCUGAUGAAAUUACAAAUGUUCAGAAUUCUCACCACCUUCUGGUUAAGCAAGUGUCAUGGAUUGAACUGUGUCCCCCUGAAACUCUUAUGCUGGAGUCCUAGUCCCACGGCCUCAGAAUGUGGCCUUAUUUGGAGACAGGGUCUUCACAGAGGUGAUCUAUUUAACAGGAGGUCCCAGGGUGGGCCCUAAACCCCAUGGCUGGUGUCCAUAUAAGAUGGGCACAUUUGGACACCGAGACACAGACAAGAAGACGACCACAUACGGCCACGCGGGGUGCCCUCCAAGGAACCAACUCCGGCCGCACCUUGUUCUCGGCCUUCCCGCCUCCUUUCCCGCUGUUUAAGCCGCCCAUGAGAGUGCCCCGUGAUGGCAACGCCAGCGGGCGCAUAUACAGCAGGCCUCUGGGGUCCAGCCUGGGAGCCCAGACACAGACACCGUCUCUACCUGGCAAGAUGGGGUGAUGAAAUGAGAAAUGAAUAGAUCUGGUCUCUGCUCCCGAGACCCCGCACAGGGCUCCAAAAGCCCUCGAAUUUCCUGGGUGAUGGCAGCAGAUUCUUCCAUUCAAAUGAGGUGAGGCUUGGUGGCUCCUGGAGGGGGUCCAGUCACCAGAGAGACCAGCCAGGAUUAGCACCUGCAGCUCUCAACCCUGCACCCACCCUCCUCCAGGGAUCAUCCACCAUCAUCCUUCAUGUCUGCGAUGGAGCCUCCAUAAGAAUGCCUGGACUAUGGGUCCCGAGCAGUUCCAGGUUGCUGAACACAUCCACGGGCCAGGAGGGUGGUGCCCCCCACUCCACGGACACAGAAGCUCCUGGGCUGGGGACCCUUUCCGACCCUGCCCUGUGCCCCGGCCCACCUGGCUGCCCAUCUGCGGCCUUUCUCAUCUCCUUUUCCUGCGUUCUGUGAUAAUUUUGUGUUGCACUCUUGAUAUUUAAGGCUAAUGUGUAACUAGAAAACUGAGUUUUAAUAUUUAAUGCCCUUGGAUUUGGGAAAUCUCUUACUACAUUAUGUUUGGAUAUACUUUCUCUGAGGGGAUAAAUAUUUUAUCGAGGCUG